GGCCCUUUGGUGUAGUGGAUAUCACGGUGCUCUCCGGAAGCACAGGUCCCGGGUUCGAACCCCGGAAGGGUCA
rnacentral:tRNA from 1 species